ACAGGCAUGCCUCAGUAACGGCGAGUGAAGCGGCAAAAGCUCAAAUUUGAAAUCUGGCUCUUUUAGGGUCCGAGUUGUAAUUUGUAGAAGAUGUUUCGGGUGUGGCUCCGGUUUAAGUUCUUUGGAAUAUUACAUCAUAGAGGGUGAGAAUCCCGUAUGUGACCGGCAGCCUUCGCCUAUGUGAAACUCUUUCGACGAGUCGAGUUGUUUGGGAAUGCAGCUCAAAAUGGGAGGUAUAUUUCUUCUAAAGCUAAAUAUUGGCCAGAGACCGAUAGCGCACAAGUAGAGUGAUCGAAAGAUGAAAAGCACUUUGGAAAGAGAGUUAAACAGUACGUGAAAUUGUUGAAAGGGAAGCGCUUGCAACCAGACUUGCACGCAGUUGAUCAUCCGGUGUUCUCACCGGGGCACUCUGCUGCGUUCAGGCCAGCAUCGGUUUUGGUGGUUGGAUAAAGGCCUUGGGAAUGUGGCUUCCUUCGGGGAGUGUUAUAGCCCUCGGUGCAAUGCAGCCUACCGGGACCGAGGACCGCGCUUCGGCUAGGAUGCUGGCGUAAUGGUUGUAAGCGACCCGUCUUGAAACACGGACCAAGGAGUCUAACAUCUAUGCGAGUGUUUGGGUGUUAAACCCAUACGCGUAAUGAAAGUGAACGGAGGUGAGAACCCUUAAGGGUGCAUCAUCGACCGGUCCUGAUGUCUUCGGAUGGAUCUGAGUAAGAGCAUAGCUGUUGGGACCCGAAAGAUGGUGAACUAUGCGUGAAUAGGGUGAAGCCAGAGGAAACUCUGGUGGAGGCUCGCAGCGGUUCUGACGUGCAAAUCGAUCGUCAAAUUUGCGCAUAGGGGCGAAAGACUUAUCGAACCAUUGAACACCUACUAGGUGGUUAAGAGGCCUUAGUACGGCCUAGUCCUCACCGAGGGCGACAUUGUCAAAUUGUUCGGGGACCUCCUGAUAACUCUCAGACUACCGCAGCCCGCCCGAAAGGGGGGUGCGCACCGGGCUAACGACCCUGGGGAUGGUAACAACGUCUGGGUAGGGAAGAUCCGCAGCCAAGUCCUACCGCCCUCCGGGGCCACGGAUGCAGUUCACAGACUUGAAGGCAGUGGGCUCCCCCGGGAGCUUAAGAUAAAGUCGAACCCCCCGGAGACGGGGUGGAGGGAGGAGAGUGCGUCGCACUCAGAGUCCUUCAGGGCCCACGGGCCCGGAGCAGCGCUAGUAGCUGGUUCCUGCCGAAGUUUCCCUCAGGAUAGCAGUGUUGAAUUCAGUUUUAUGAGGUAAAGCGAAUGAUUAGAGGCCUUGGGGUUGAAACAACCUUAACCUAUUCUCAAACUUUAAAUAUGUAAGAAGUCCUUGUUGCUUAAUUGAACGUGGACAUUCGAAUGUACCAACACUAGUGGGCCAUUUUUGGUAAGCAGAACUGGCGAUGCGGGAUGAACCGAACGUGAAGUUAAGGUGCCGGAAUAUACGCUCAUCAGACACCACAAAAGGUGUUAGUUCAUCUAGACAGCAGGACGGUGGCCAUGGAAGUCGGAAUCCGCUAAGGAAUGUGUAACAACUCACCUGCCGAAUGAACUAGCCCUGAAAAUGGAUGGCGCUUAAGCGUAUUACCCAUACUUCACCGCCAGGGUAGAAACGAUGCCCUGGCGAGUAGGCAGGCGUGGAGGUCAGUGACGAAGCC
rnacentral:ncRNA from 1 species